UUAGAAGAUAAAGAUGGCCAGAGGCGGGGACCCGAUGCCUACAUCCGGAUGAUUCCAGUUAUGAACCUCAGAAUUAUAGCAGAUUGGAAUGAAAUGACCCUUGGAGACCAUCGCCAGCCCACUUGCAGAGAUGGUAACUCGAGGCCCAGAGAGGAGUAGCAACAGGCUCAAGAUGACACAGCAAGCCAUUAGCCGACCAGGACUUGAAGCAGCAGUUAGGGGAGAAUCUCCAGUCCCAGCUCCUAAAAGGCCUGGCCCAUGUACCACCUCCUCCAUGAAGCCUUCUUGGAUUGCACCACUCUGCACUGCUGUCCCUGGACCAAGCCUGCACAGCCUCUUUAGGCUCUCCCAAAGGAUGGAUCUUCAUUCCCUUCCUCUGUUGGCUGUGUUCCCUGAGCAGACCCCUGCCUACCACCCCUCAGAGAUCAGAGCUGAGCAAGAGACGGGAUCCCACAGCCCAGACUCCUAGGUGCUCAGAUCUUCCCUGGAGAUGCCACUUGGGAUGUGGAGGAAUAACAGGAAGGCGCCUCAGAAGAAGGAAAGAGGCAGGACCGUUAUGACCAGCCACACCCAUGUCGGCAGAAACUGUAAGACGACCCACUGAGACCCUGGGUGGGGUUGCCUGAGAGCAGGAAAGCCCAAAAGCCCUGGCUGCCUCCUCGCCUCACCUCCUGGUCCAGCCUCCCUUGUGUGGCCUCACCUCCUGACACGCACCUCGUGAGCCUGCGCAGGUGCGUCUUGGCAAAUCCCAGGGAGGAGCAUGUCUGGCCCCUGCCCUGGGGCAACUCACAGUCUGGUUGGGAGGACUGUGACCCGGGCAAAAAGAACAGUUCCAUAGGCUGUGGCCCUGAUUUGGAGCCCCCUGUGCACCAAGAAGAGGCAGUUCUAGGAGGCUGGGGCCCCAGGGGAGACUUCCUGGAGGAGAUGGUGUUUGCACCGACUUGUGAGCCUUUGGCAGACACUGAGGCCAGAACCCAAUCCUGAAAAGAGAUUCAUCAAAACCUGGCAAAACUACCCAAAGCCUCUUCUGGGUAUGACUUUACUUCAGACACAAUAUUUUGAUCGUUUCCACAUAAGAUGGAUCAGAAACAUAUGCAUUAAUUUCCUCUUAAAAGUAUACACUCGUUGUACUUGGCAAAACGCAGUGCGGGAUUCGAUGAGUGUAAGGCAACUGAAGAAUUGUAUGGGAUCCAAGGCUGGGAGGUCUCAGAAGCCAGAGCGUCUUUCGGCCUGUUUCUGGAGGCUUCUUCUCCAACUCACUUGCAGGGGCCUCAGCAGCCGAAAGUUGAAGUCCAAAGUCAGGCCAGUUCUCAGUGCACUCCUUCUACAGAGGGUCUGACACCAGCUGGCCCCAUCCUGGAGCUGAUUUCCUGAAAGAGUCUUCUCACAUUCUUACUCUGAUGAAUCAAGCCUUACGGAGAAGCUCACAUGGCAAGGAGCCAAGUGUGGCCUCUGGCCGACAGCCAGUGAGAAACGGAGGUCCUCGGUCCAACGGCCCGUGGGAAACUGAAUUCUGCCAAUGACGACAUGAAGGAGCUUGGAACUGAGUCCUGUCCCAGCUGAACCCUCAGAAGAGACUGCAGCCCAGCCAACUUCUUGGUUGCAGCCUCAUGAGAGUCCUUGAGUGGCAGAGCUCCGUUAAGCAGGGCCUGGAUUCCUGACCCAGAGGAACUCUUAGUUAAUGAAUGUUUCUCUAAAGUUGUGGCUCUAAGCUAUGCCUAAAUUUGGUGGUAAUUUGUCACAUGCUGAUGGAUAAUGGAUACAGUGAGCUUUAGACUCUGUAAGGCUGCUGGGUCAAGGAGCUCCAGGCUGCCUAGGAGGCAGACUCUCCUUGCUCUGUCUCUGCAUUUCUCACCCUUGCGCCAUCUCAUAGAGAGAAAGGCUCUACCUCACCUAACUUGGGAAGUGGGGCAGGGAGAGAAACCUUCCUCAUUUCCUGCCUGAGCCAGGACAUGGGAGUCGGUCCAGGGAGGAUAUCCCCUCCAUCCUUCCCUCUCUUGCCACCCAUCCAAACACACUCUUCCUCUUCUGUUGCUCUCGGGAGAAAAAGGAAGGGUGAAGGGGGUGUUCUGUGUGCUACACCUUGGAGCUUCCUAUAGAAAGGAGGUUUUUAUUUAGAAGAAAAAAGUUUUGCUAGAGGUUUAAUGAUUAACUUUAAGGAAUGAGCUGCAGAUCUGGAGGAGGUAGAGAAGCUACCUGUCCCAAGGCAAACAAGAAUGGCGUCCAUCGGCAGUGGAGGCUCCCAUGGGGAGCAAAGGUGGGGAUGACACCAUUAGACCAUUUACCUGAACAUCCAGGGAAGAGAUUUUGACAAGAAUCCUGCCAAUUUGUCUCCUGUUCUUCUCUAUGAGUCAGGAGCAGAUGGGUGACUGAUAACUUAUGCAACAGUUCAAAACAACUCUCCAGUGGAAUUUGGGGGCUGCCAUAUUUCUUCACUUUUUUACCUCUGGCACUGAAUGCUUAUAGAUCAACCCAGUCCCCAGGCGUCUCAAAAAACAGGGGAUGGAAAAAUUCACCAAGUGUCUCAGCAACAUCUCCUCAGCUCACAAAUAGGAAGAAAAAGGUAUUAUUUUCCAGGAAGAUGUUACUUUCCUGGAAACUUUACAAGCCAGGCGAUUUAAGAUUUUCAUGCAUCCUCCUUCCUUCCACUAAUGUUUCCUGUGCCUCUCACAUAUCAGGUCAUGGGCUAAGGGCUGAGGUUACAAAGAUAGAUACUGUUCCUGUCUUCACUGGUUUAAAAGCCAGUGAAAAAAUACAUAAAUAUAGCCUUUCAAGUGAACGAAAAAAUGUUGGUGAAUUGAUUAUCAAAUUAAAAAAAGAGAAGAAUGGAAGGAAUAAACAAAAAUUAUUUGAUGUUAAGAGGAUUUCAUUUUUCCUCUUUUCCAUUCUGGAGGAGACCUGACGAAGACUGGCUUCUCAGGUAUCCAGGCUCUUGUCACUUGUAUACGGUCAGGAUGGCUGGCAUGUGAUUCAAAGGGGUAGCUGUUUGUCAGCAACUGGAGCGCACACCUGCACAAACACAUAUACAUAAACACACAGACUGCUGGGCUCCAGUCCACCAAAGAUGCCUGUCUAUUAAUAUCUUGGAGGAGCAGGGCCUUUCUGUUGCCUCGGGUGCUGGUAACUUAGCACGAAAACUCUGGGCUCCUAUCUUGUGCCAAUUACGGUGCCUCUCUUUAACCCCAGUCCUCUGAAAAGUGCUGCUCUGAGCAGAUUUUCAAGUACUGGGGAUGCUUGAUAAAUGGCCCUUAACAUUGAACUCAGGUGCCCACCAAAAAGUAUCUUGGCAAAGAAUUGGCAGUGAAACGAAUGGAGUCGCUUCCAAAUGAGCUGAACGUGCACACCUGCCUCAUUUUCAGCAACUUGUUGAAGAGUGAUGGGGAUGCAGUACGGGGGCAGUCAGGUGGUUUUGGGGAGGGAGCCCACAUUCCAGCCCUAGUUCCCCCACCCAUUCUCACAGCCGAACCUCGUAGGAAACCCGUUCCCAUUCCCAGUCUCAUUUUUCUUAUCUGUAAAAUAAAGGAUUUGAACUUUGGGCAA